GCUCGGCUGACACUCGUAUUGCAUUGUAGAGUUGUAUUACAGUUAAAUAAACCCGGCUGCUAGCCGUGAUCUAUGCCGUGAUGUAUUGUAAGUAUUGUAUUAAAGAGUAGAUACGGCUCGGCUGCUACUGUACCCUUGGCCGUGUACAAUGGUGUACGUAUUUACGCAAUCGUAAAUCGCGCUGGCUAAGAAUAACUUGUGUAUAUACAA
rnacentral:lncRNA from 1 species